rnacentral:rRNA from 1 species
GAUGAACGCUAGCGGCAGGCUUAAUACAUGCAAGUCGUGGGGCAGCAUGAAGUAGCAAUACUUUGAUGGCGACCGGCAAACGGGUGCGGAACACGUACACAACCUUCCUACAAGUGGGGAAUAGCCCAGAGAAAUUUGGAUUAAUACCCCGUAACAUAGCGAUGUGGCAUCACAUUGCUAUUAUAGCUUCGGCGCUUGUUGAUGGGUGUGCGUAUGAUUAGAUAGUUGGCGAGGUAACGGCUCACCAAGUCUACGAUCAUUAGCUGAUGUGAGAGCAUGAUCAGCCACACGGGCACUGAGACACGGGCCCGACUCCUACGGGAGGCAGCAGUAAGGAAUAUUGGUCAAUGGACGAAAGUCUGAACCAGCCAUGCCGCGUGAAGGAUUAAGGUCCUCUGGAUUGUAAACUUCUUUUAUAUGGGGCGAAAAAAGGUCUUUCUAGAUCACUUGACGGUACCAUAUGAAUAAGCACCGGCUAACUCCGUGCCAGCAGCCGCCGUAAAAC